rnacentral:rRNA from 1 species
GGAUUGAACGCUGGCGGCAUGCCUUACACAUGCAAGUCGAACGGCAGCACGGGAGCAAUCCUGGUGGCGAGUGGCGAACGGGUGAGUAAUACAUCGGAACGUGCCCAGUAGUGGGGGAUAACCCGGCGAAAGCCGGACUAAUACCGCAUACGACCUACGGGUGAAAGCAGGGGAUCGCAAGACCUUGCGUUAUUGGAGCGGCCGAUGUCAGAUUAGCUUGUUGGCGGGGUAAAAGCCCACCAAGGCGACGAUCUGUAGCUGGUCUGAGAGGACGACCAGCCACACUGGGACUGAGACACGGCCCAGACUCCUACGGGAGGCAGCAGUGGGGAAUAUUGGACAAUGGGCGAAAGCCUGAUCCAGCAAUGCCGCGUGUGUGAAGAAGGUCUUCGGAUUGUAAAGCACUUUCGACAGGGACGAUGAUGACGGUACCUGUAGAAGAAGCCCCGGCUAACUUCGUGCCAGCAGCCGC